rnacentral:tRNA from 1 species
GGAAGGCUGGCACAAUGGUACUGCAGCAGUCUUGAAAACUGCCGCCCGCAAGGGCUUCCGAGUUCGAAUCCCGGGCCUUCCG